rnacentral:rRNA from 1 species
UACGGAGGGUGCGAGCGUUGUCCGGAAUCAUUGGGCGUAAAGGGCGCGUAGGUGGCGCGACAAGCGUGCGGUGAAAGCUCGGGGCUCAACCCCGAGUCGGCCGUGCGAACUGUUGUGCUUGAGCACUGUAGAGGCAGGCGGAAUUCCGGGGUGUAGCGGUGGAAUGCGUAGAGAUCCGGAAGAACACCGGUGGCGAAGGCGACGUCCUGGACCGGCAUUGACGCUGAGGCGCGAAAAGCCAGGGGGAGCAAACGGGG